CAUACCCCUGGUCCUUUUUUCAACAUCAUACAGUUUGUCUCUCUGCUUUUUGUCAAGUUUGGGCUUUUUUGGUGGGGGUGAUGCUUGAUUUAUAUCGUUUAGCCUUUUUGAAGUAAAUCCAAACUUAUGCAAACUCAUGAUCUACAGAUUCAGUUUGAAUUUUCCGCCAUAAUAACUUUGAAUAUUGUAAUUUACUGAACAAAGCUGGAUUCGGAUACGAUUGAAUUUUGUACAAAAUUAAAAAAAA
rnacentral:lncRNA from 1 species